GGUUAAGCGACUAAGCGUACACGGUGGAUGCCCUGGCAGUCAGAGGCGAUGAAGGGCGUGCUAAUCUGCGAUAAGCGCCGGUAAGGUGAUAUGAACCGUUAUAACCGGCGAUACCCGAAUGGGGAAACCCAGUGUGACUCGUCACACUAUCAUUAACUGAAUCCAUAGGUUAAUGAGGCGAACCGGGGGAACUGAAACAUCUAAGUACCCCGAGGAAAAGAAAUCAACCGAGAUUCCCCCAGUAGCGGCGAGCGAACGGGGAGGAGCCCAGAGCCUGAAUCAGCAUGUGUGUUAGUGGAAGCGUCUGGAAAGGCGCGCGAUACAGGGUGACAGCCCCGUACACAAAAGCGCAUGUGCUGUGAGCUCGAUGAGUAGGGCGGGACACGUGGUAUCCUGUCUGAAUAUGGGGGGACCAUCCUCCAAGGCUAAAUACUCCUGACUGACCGAUAGUGAACCAGUACCGUGAGGGAAAGGCGAAAAGAACCCCGGCGAGGGGAGUGAAAAAGAACCUGAAACCGUGUACGUACAAGCAGUGGGAGCACCCUUCGGGGUGUGACUGCGUACCUUUUGUAUAAUGGGUCAGCGACUUAUAUUCUGUAGCAAGGUUAACCGAAUAGGGGAGCCGGAGGGAAACCGAGUCUUAAUUGGGCGUUAAGUUGCAGGGUAUAGACCCGAAACCCGGUGAUCUAGCCAUGGGCAGGUUGAAGGUUGGGUAACACUAACUGGAGGACCGAACCGACUAAUGUUGAAAAAUUAGCGGAUGACCUGUGGCUGGGGGUGAAAGGCCAAUCAAACCGGGAGAUAGCUGGUUCUCCCCGAAAGCUAUUUAGGUAGCGCCUCGUGAAUUCAUCUCCGGGGGUAGAGCACUGUUUCGGCUAGGGGGCCAUCCCGGCUUACCAACCCGAUGCAAACUGCGAAUACCGGAGAAUGUUAUCACGGGAGACACACGGCGGGUGCUAACGUCCGUCGUGAAGAGGGAAACAACCCAGACCGCCAGCUAAGGUCCCAAAGUCAUGGUUAAGUGGGAAACGAUGUGGGAAGGCCCAGACAGCCAGGAUGUUGGCUUAGAAGCAGCCAUCAUUUAAAGAAAGCGUAAUAGCUCACUGGUCGAGUCGGCCUGCGCGGAAGAUGUAACGGGGCUAAACCAUGCACCGAAGCUGCGGCAGCGACGUUUAUGCGUUGUUGGGUAGGGGAGCGUUCUGUAAGCCUGCGAAGGUGGCCUGUGAGGGUUGCUGGAGGUAUCAGAAGUGCGAAUGCUGACAUAAGUAACGAUAAAGCGGGUGAAAAGCCCGCUCGCCGGAAGACCAAGGGUUCCUGUCCAACGUUAAUCGGGGCAGGGUGAGUCGACCCCUAAGGCGAGGCCGAAAGGCGUAGUCGAUGGGAAACGGGUUAAUAUUCCCGUACUUGGUGUUACUGCGAAGGGGGGACGGAGAAGGCUAUGUUGGCCGGGCGACGGUUGUCCCGGUUUAAGCGUGUAGGUGUGUGUUCCAGGUAAAUCCGGUUCACUUUAACACUGAGGCGUGAUGACGAGGCACUACGGUGCUGAAGCAACAAAUGCCCUGCUUCCAGGAAAAGCCUCUAAGCAUCAGGUAACACGAAAUCGUACCCCAAACCGACACAGGUGGUCAGGUAGAGAAUACCAAGGCGCUUGAGAGAACUCGGGUGAAGGAACUAGGCAAAAUGGUGCCGUAACUUCGGGAGAAGGCACGCUGACACGUAGGUGAAGUGAUUUACUCAUGGAGCUGAAGUCAGUCGAAGAUACCAGCUGGCUGCAACUGUUUAUUAAAAACACAGCACUGUGCAAACACGAAAGUGGACGUAUACGGUGUGACGCCUGCCCGGUGCCGGAAGGUUAAUUGAUGGGGUCAGCGCAAGCGAAGCUCCUGAUCGAAGCCCCGGUAAACGGCGGCCGUAACUAUAACGGUCCUAAGGUAGCGAAAUUCCUUGUCGGGUAAGUUCCGACCUGCACGAAUGGCGUAAUGAUGGCCAGGCUGUCUCCACCCGAGACUCAGUGAAAUUGAACUCGCUGUGAAGAUGCAGUGUACCCGCGGCAAGACGGAAAGACCCCGUGAACCUUUACUAUAGCUUGACACUGAACAUUGAGCCUUGAUGUGUAGGAUAGGUGGGAGGCUUUGAAGUGUGGACGCCAGUCUGCAUGGAGCCGACCUUGAAAUACCACCCUUUAAUGUUUGAUGUUCUAACGUGGACCCGUAAUCCGGGUUGCGGACAGUGUCUGGUGGGUAGUUUGACUGGGGCGGUCUCCUCCUAAAGAGUAACGGAGGAGCACGAAGGUUGGCUAAUCCUGGUCGGACAUCAGGAGGUUAGUGCAAUGGCAUAAGCCAGCUUGACUGCGAGCGUGACGGCGCGAGCAGGUGCGAAAGCAGGUCAUAGUGAUCCGGUGGUUCUGAAUGGAAGGGCCAUCGCUCAACGGAUAAAAGGUACUCCGGGGAUAACAGGCUGAUACCGCCCAAGAGUUCAUAUCGACGGCGGUGUUUGGCACCUCGAUGUCGGCUCAUCACAUCCUGGGGCUGAAGUAGGUCCCAAGGGUAUGGCUGUUCGCCAUUUAAAGUGGUACGCGAGCUGGGUUUAGAACGUCGUGAGACAGUUCGGUCCCUAUCUGCCGUGGGCGCUGGAGAACUGAGGGGGGCUGCUCCUAGUACGAGAGGACCGGAGUGGACGCAUCACUGGUGUUCGGGUUGUCAUGCCAAUGGCACUGCCCGGUAGCUAAAUGCGGAAGAGAUAAGUGCUGAAAGCAUCUAAGCACGAAACUUGCCCCGAGAUGAGUUCUCCCUGAGACUUAGAGUCUCCUGAAGGAACGUUGAAGACGACGACGUUGAUAGGCCGGGUGUGUAAGCGCAGCGAUGCGUUGAGCUAACCGGUACUAAUGAACCGUGAGGCUUAACCUU
rnacentral:rRNA from 1 species